rnacentral:rRNA from 1 species
AUUGAACGCUGGCGGCAGGCCUAACACAUGCAAGUCGAACGAGUGGCGGACGGGUGAGUAAUGUCUGGGAAACUGCCUGAUGGAGGGGGAUAACUACUGGAAACGGUAGCUAAUACCGCAUACCAUCAGAUGUGCCCAGAUGGGAUUAGCUUGUUGGUGGGGUAACUGCCAACCAAGGCGACGAUCCCUAGCUGGUCUGAGAGGAUGACCAGCCACACUGGACAUGCGAAACGGUCCAGACUCCUAAGGGAGGCAGAAGUGGGGAAGAUUGCACAAUGGGCGCAAGAGUGAUGCAGCCAUGCCGCGUGUAUGAAGAAGGCCUUCGGGUUGUAAAGUACUUUCAGCGGGGAGGCGUUACCCGCAGAAGAAGCACCGGCUAACUCCGUGCCAGAAGCCGCGGUAAAAC